AUGCCACCGAAGAAGAAGGCUUCGGAGGCAGCUGUUCCAUCCGCGUCGAUCCCACCACCACCGGAACAGACGGGUGGUGGGGUAGACGCCGGCGGAAGAACGGGCAUCGACGAGGGAGCUCACGGUGCCGCCAAGCCCAAGGACAAGGCUGCGCAGACCUCGGCGUCCGUACAUGCACCGUGCCCAUCUCAGGAGGCACGGGACCGACAGCGUCAUGGUAUUCGCAGUACCAUACAUUCGUUGGACCAAGAUCGAGCUGGUGGAUCUCGGGGUGCUCAAGACCAGCAUGCACGCCAACAUGCUGGCACGAGCGUGGCACGGUCGCCUGGACGGGAUACUGCUCCUUCUAACAUAGUUAGAAGUCCGAGCAUAUCCCGCUCCUCGCACCGUUCGCCACUGCCACCCACCACUCCAGCAGAAGCUUUGGCGCGAGCUCAACUGCUCCUGGAUUACCCUCCAACGGCAAACAAGAUCGACAAAUGGAGGGCCACCAUUCAUAGUCUCAUCGGCUUCGCCAACGGCGACACUCCGCGGCAGCUGAGUACAUCGCUGCCACGGUAG
rnacentral:rRNA from 1 species